rnacentral:rRNA from 1 species
AUUGAACGCCGGCGGCGUGCCUAACACAUGCAAGUCGAGCGGUAACAGGUGUAGCAAUACAUGCUGACGAGCGGCGGACGGGUGAGUAACGCUUGGGAAUCUGCCUGUUAGUGGGGGACAACCCGGGGAAACUCGGGCUAAUACCGCAUACGCACUACGGUGGAAAGCCGGGGACCGCAAGGCCUGGCGCUAACAGAUGAGCCCAAGUCGGAUUAGCUAGUUGGUAGGGUAACGGCCACCAAGGCGACGAUCCGUAACUGGUCUGAGAGGACGACCAGUCACACCGGAACUGAGACACGGUCCGGACUCCUACGGGAGGCAGCAGUGGGGAAUAUUGGACAAUGGGCGAAAGCCUGAUCCAGCGACGCCGCGUGGGUGAAGAAGGCCUGCGGGUUGUAAAGCCCUUUCGGUGGGGAAGAAAAGCCUCGAGUUAAUACCUCGGGUCUUGACGUAACCCAUAGAAGAAGCACCGGCUAACUCUGUGCCAGCAGCCGCUGUAAC